GAUGAACGCUGGCGGCGUGCCUAAUACAUGCAAGUCGAGCGAACAGACGAGGAGCUUGCUCCUCUGACGUUAGCGGCGGACGGGUGAGUAACACGUGGAUAACCUACCUAUAAGACUGGGAUAACUUCGGGAAACCGGAGCUAAUACCGGAUAAUAUAUUGAACCGCAUGGUUCAAUAGUGAAAGACGGUUUUGCUGUCACUUAUAGAUGGAUCCGCGCCGGAUUAGCUAGUGGGUAAGGUAACGGCUUACCAAGGCAACGAUGCGUAGCCGACCUGAGAGGGUGAUCGGCCACACUGGAACGGCGACACGGUCCAGACUCCUACGGGAGGCAGCAGUAGGGAAUCUGCCGCAAUGGGCGAAAGCCUGACGUAGCAACGCCGCGUGAGUGAUGAAGGUCUUCGGGUCGUAAAACGCUGUUAUUAGGGAAGAACAAAUGUGUAAGUAAACAUGCACGUAUUGACGGUACCUAAUCAGAAAGCCACGGCUAACUUCGUG
rnacentral:rRNA from 1 species